rnacentral:RNase_P_RNA from 1 species
UGAGACCUCUUGAUGGCCGCGGCCGUGAUCUUCAUUGGGAUCGGCUGAGGAACUUCCGGGCUCCAUAGAGCACGAUGGCGGAUAACGUCCGCCCAGGGUGACCUGAGAGAUAGCGCAACAGAGAACAGACCGCCCGUCCUCGACGGGUAAGGGUGAAACGGCGGUGUAAGAGACCACCGGGCCUCUGGUAACAGUAGGUCGCAUGGCAAGCCUCAUCGGGAGCAAGGCCAAGCAGAUGGCGGUAAGGGCUGCUCGCCCGUGUCAUCGGGUAGGCUGCUAGAGCCUGGCGGUAACGUCAGGUCGAGAUGGAUGGCCAUCCGUGCCGUGCGUUCGCGCACGGCACGACAGAACCCGGGGUAUAAGAGGUC